rnacentral:rRNA from 1 species
GAUGAACGCUGACAGAAUGCUUAACACAUGCAAGUCGAUGGGGAAGUGGUGCUUGCACCAUAGCAACCAUGGCGGACGGGUGAGUAACGCGUAAGGGACUUACCUGCAGGACUGGGAUAACAGGGGGAAACUCCUGACAAGACCGGAUAAUGUCAUGGAGCUGCAUGGCUUUAUGAUGAAAGGAGACGCCUGCGGAGAGCCUUGCGUCCUAUUAGCUAGUUGGUGAGGUAAUGGCUCACCAAGGCGAAGAUAGGUAGCCGGCCUGAGAGGGUGGACGGCCACAAGGGGACUGAGAUACGGCCCUUACUCCUACGGGAGGCAGCAGUGGGGAAUAUUGGACAAUGGGGGCGACCCUGAUCCAGCAAUUCUGUGUGCACGAAGAAGGUUUUCGGAUUGUAAAGUGCUUUCAGCAGGGAAGAAGUAAGUGACGGUACCUGCAGAAGAAGCGACGGCUAAAUACGUG